GGCCGGCCGGUGCGUGUGCACUCGGUUUCUGCACUCGCCUUUGGCCUUUCCCGAUGACGGGUGGCCCGGCGCUGCUCCUGGUCCUGCUCGUCGGCUGCCCUGGAUGCCGUUUCGUCGGGGUCAUGGUGGGAGCGAACCUGUCCUCGCACGCCGCGCAUCGUGCGGCCCGUCAUGGGCAGCCUCGAAUCACAGCAACCACGUCCCUCCCUGCUCCCUCCCUUGUCCGCCGCCGCACCGGUUCCUCUCUCUCUCUCUCUCUCUCUCUCUCCUGCGAUGUUCCUCCUUCCUGUUGGCGUGCCACGCCCCGUCUUCCACCCUCACGUUCAUCUUCAACACCCCCUCCUCGGCUAGAUGGCGCCUCUGGGGGUGAAGGAGCAGGGGAGGGCCAAGAGGACAGUGGUGUGGGGUGGAGCAGCGAGGCCGGCGGCCCAGACGGCGGACGCCUCACGGGGUGGAGGAGAGGCCGGCGAUAGGGAAGGAUCAGAAUCCUCAUGGAGCAGCAGGGAAGGUGAAGUCCCGACGGCUGAAGAUGGUGCGCAUGGGAGGAGCUCGGGUGAUGUCAAGGUGAGCUUCUCUCAAUCCUUCUCCCCCUUCACGCCUCUUGCAAUUUUUUCUUGUUUCAGAUCAUAUGAAGGUGAGUGUAGUCUUGUGAGCAAUUGCCUGUGCUAUUUUCUUCUUUCUUUACUUUCUCCCUUUCCUACAAGAAGAUGCCGAGUCAUGUAAUAUCUUCAAGGAAGAGAAAAGCUGCAUUUUGUUCAUGUGAAAAGUUAGGGUGGGUUUGUGUUUUCAGAAAUGAGGCGACCUUUCAUGUACACAUAUCAAAGAUUUUUCUCUGUAAACGUAUACUGGACCUGUGUGAUUUGCAUGACAGAGCUUAAAUAAAUCUGGUCCAUUUAUAUUCAACCUUGCAUUAUGCAGUAGUAGAACUACUGCUCGAUUUGGCGUGUGCCAUUUUUGGUGCGUCAAUUUCAGCUAGACUAAAUCAACCACGCCGUCCUUCUUGGCUUGAUUUUUCCUAUGUCUGUGUGUGUGCUGCACGUUUAGCAGGCCUGACUUAAGAUCUAACCCCUGACGGAGUUUAAGCAUGGUCCAGUAUGCACUUCUUGACUUCUCUUGAUUUCUGUUUUUGUUUAAAUUCAUAUCAAAUCAAUAUUGUUUGCAACUUUGCAUACAGGUUGGAGAGGUUAUUUUUGGCGUGGAGGUCUUUUUCAAUUUUUCUGAAGUUAGACUUUUUUCCAGUUCCCCAAGCACGUUCGUCAUGUUAACUAAAGUGUUACCUACCAAAAUUGUAUCAUUGAUCCCACACAAUGGUUAGAAUCCCAGUCGUUCAAUUACAGUAGACCAGACCAUGUUUCACGAUUUGUAUAGUCCAACCAAUAAUACAGAUUGAGCCUGGUGAUGAUUUUCAAUAUAUUGUGAUAGUAGUUUCCUGCAUUGAUUAGUUAAUGAGCCAUCCUUCCGUUUUACUUGAAAUGGUGUAAUAGUUAAAUAGAUGUAUUUGUGCCAUUUUGCUCAUUGUAAGGUAGGGGCUGAUCAGGGUGGAAGA
rnacentral:rRNA from 1 species